UACGAAGGGGGCUAGCGUUGCUCGGAAUCACUGGGCGUAAAGGGUGCGUAGGCGGGUCUUUAAGUCAGGGGUGAAAUCCUGGAGCUCAACUCCAGAACUGCCUUUGAUACUGAAGAUCUUGAGUUCGGGAGAGGUGAGUGGAACUGCGAGUGUAGAGGUGAAAUUCGUAGAUAUUCGCAAGAACACCGGUGGCGAAGGCGGCUAUCUGGACCGACAUUGACGCUGAGGCGCGAAAGCGUGGGGAGCAAACAGG
rnacentral:rRNA from 1 species